rnacentral:tRNA from 1 species
GAAGGUAUAGCUCAGUGGUAGGGUGAGUGCUUAGCAUGCUCAAGGUCCUGAGUUCAAUCCCCAGUACCUCUA